GGCAGACAGCAGAUGCUCUCAGAUUUGGUGGUGAGUUUUGGCCUUGGCAUGGUUGGCAUGGAGUCAGCACAGGAAGCCGGGAGGUAUGAAGGGGCAUCCACCUGGGUGAAACUGUCUUGCCAAGCCAAAGCCCCGAGGCCUGCCCUGAAGCAGCUGUAGUGGAGGAGAGGCCUGGGAUUCCUUAGAGUCACCUUUUUACGAAUGUACCGCCACUCUGUUAGCUCACAGGGAAAAUAAGGAAAAGCCAGGCCUCCCACCUCUUGACUCUUGUGAGAGUGAAGACAACAUGGGGCAUUUAGAAAAUAUAUUUUUAGUGUAUGAUAAUGUGGGCUGGCCCACACAGCAAUGAGCCCAAAGACCCCCUCGCUUUGGGAAUUAUUCAUGGCCCUGCUCAUCACAGCCUCUGAUAUGCAUGACUGUAACCUAGGCUGAGCCAAGAAUGGAGCUCAUGCCAGAAAUGGUCCUAAGCAUGCACAUGGCCCCCUGGAAUAUCAAAAUCCUGGGGAGAAAGAAAUCAUCUUUGCCUUGGGCAGUGAAGCUGGAAUGGCACAUAUCUAUCUGUUGCCACAUCUCCUGCCUAGUGGAGAAGCCUUGGAAGGCAACAGACACUGAGCAAGCAGCAGGGAGGAGAAUGUCCUGGAAGGGCAGGACUCUACCCAAGUCCCUAACAUCCCCAGACUCUUCUCUUCCAUAAACUCUCUAAUUACUCUGCUGUUUAAAUCCUGGUUUUGGUCAAGCCAGUCAGGUUGCAUAAAGAAUAUGAAUACAGUAUGCAUCAAAGUUGCUUCCCAGAACAGGAAGCAAAACAAACAAACAAACAAACAAACAAAAUACUGAUAUCAGUACCCAGGGUGCCCAAUUAGGUCACACCCAGUGGCUGCAUUGCAGCCCCUGAGCUCCUGCUGCACCGUGUGUCCUGCUGCCCGAGUGGGCCCCACCCUGGGUUCUGAAGAUGCCCUUCUUAAUGGAGAGCUCCCGAUGGAGGGCUCCAGGACUGAUGCUCUCCCUAAGGAAGGGAGGCCUCAGAUUUGGAGAGGGACACCAACAGGACCAGAGGAGGACUGAGGGGCACUGGCACCAAUAAGUGGAAGGGAACAGCGUGGUAACAAAAAAGAGCCAUGCCACUUGCAUGCUGGAGGGAGUCUUUUUGUGUCAGCCUAAAGCUUAGGCUGGUGUCCAUGUGGAACAUGACAUCUUUCCAGUAUCCCUGAUCCAGGAAACUGCAGUGAGACCCAGGUGACCCAGCUCUGUGUCAUUUGGAGCCCAUUAAAAAGUGAGGCAGCCACAUGGCGGGGACAUUGACCCCACUCCAGACCACACUCCCAUCUCCAUACAUAGGAUAGAAACUGUUCAUCAGGAAGGAAAACCAAACAGAAAUUCGUGGUCUAGGGGAGGGGUCUGCAUUCAGCAUGGCCAUGCUGGGCUGGAGUGGCUGUGGGGUGUCCAGAUAGAUGGGCAUGUAGACUAGUGCUUUCUCAACCUUUAAUGCAUGCACAAAUCAUCGAGAUCUUGUUAAAAUGUAGAUCCUGGGUGGGCACGGUGGCUCACGCCUGUAAUCCCAGCACUUUGGGAGGCUGAGGCGGGCGGAUCAUGAGGUCAGGAGAUCGAGACCAUCCUGGCUAACACGGUGAAACCCUGUCUCUACUAAAAAUACAAAAAAUUAGCCAGGCAUGGUGGUGGGUGCCUGUAGUCCCAGCUACUCGGGAGGCUGAGGCAGGAGAAUGGCAUGAACCCGGGAGGCGGAGCUUGCAGUGAGCCGAGAUCGUGCUGCUGCACUCCAGCCUGGGCAAUAGAGUGAGAUUCCGUCUCAAAAAAAAAAAAAAAAAAAAUGUAGAUCCUGGCUCAGGAGGUCUGGGAUAGGACCUGGGAUUCUGAGUUUCUAACAAGCUCCCAGGGAUGUCCAUGCUUCUGGUCCCUGAACCACACUUUGAGUGACAAGGAUGUAAACUGUUGGAAACAUGGAUCUGGUGCUCAUUGCGGGAAAGGGGGUGUCCUCAGGGCAUAGGUCACAGCCAAAGCCCUGACAGCGGGCAAGAGUCCCAGGGAGAGGCUGCCUGCACAUUGAGGAGGGGAAGGGCUGGGCCUGAGCAGUGGGGAGCAUCCAUGCUGGCAGGUAUGCAGCAGGCAAGGAGAUCCAGGUGGAGAUCAGAGGACAGUGACAGUCACAGCAGCAGGGGAGAGCCAGGAGAAAGCUGCUCCUAGGGGUGUCUCAAAGGAAGAAGGGAUCUGCAGUGUGAACUCUGCAGAGGGCAGGGAGAAUAGAGGUUAAGCCUUUGCUCAUUCUGAAUUAAUUGAUUACUGCUUUUUAAAAGUGCUUUCUUUCUCUGGGAAAAAAAAAACAUUCCCCAGUGCCUAAGGCUAACAGACGUGGGCGCUGAGCUGUGUCUGGUCUGCUGAGUGUAUUUUCCCCAGAGCAAUCCUCAUCUUCUCAGGGGGUGGGGAUUUGGACAAGACUCUUCCUGAACACGCAGCGUGGUGGGGAAGGGUGGCCAUGGAGGUUUUCUGUUCCUUCUGUUGUCACUGGUGAAAGACGACUUGGUGCCCAAUUUCUAAUAAACACAAUGCUAUUAGCGUCACUCCAA
rnacentral:lncRNA from 10 species